AGUGAACGCUGGCGGUAGGCCUAACACAUGCAAGUCGAACGGCAGCACAGUAAGAGCUUGCUCUUACGGGUGGCGAGUGGCGGACGGGUGAGGAAUACAUCGGAAUCUACUUUUUCGUGGGGGAUAACGUAGGGAAACUUACGCUAAUACCGCAUACGACCUACGGGUGAAAGCAGGGGAUCUUCGGACCUUGCGCGAUUGAAUGAGCCGAUGUCGGAUUAGCUAGUUGGCGGGGUAAAGGCCCACCAAGGCGACGAUCCGUAGCUGGUCUGAGAGAAUGAUCAGCCACACUGGAACUGGGACACGGUCCAGACUCCUACGGGAGGCAGCAGUGGGGAAUAUUGGACAAUGGGCGCAAGCCUGAUCCAGCCAUACCGCGUGGGUGAAGAAGGCCUUCGGGUUGUAAAGCCCUUUUGUUGGGAAAGAAAAGCAGCAGGUUAAUACCCCGCUGUUCUGACGGUACCCAAAGAAUAAGCACCGGCUAACUUCGUG
rnacentral:rRNA from 1 species